GAUGAAGAACGCAGCGAAAUGCGAUAAGUAAUGUGAAUUGCAGAAUUCAGUGAAUCAUCGGAUCUUUGAACGCACCUUGCGCCCUUUGGCCAUUCCGAAGGGCAUGCCUGUUUGAGUAUCAUGAACACCUCAACUCUUUAUGGUUUUCCAUGAUGAGCUUGGACUCUGGGGGUUUUGCUGGCUCACAGUCGGCUCCUCUAGAAUGAAUCAGCUUACCAGUGUUUGGUGGGUAUCAUGGGUGUGAUAACUAUCUACGCUUGUGGUUUUUCCACCAGGUAACCUUCAGCAGUGGAGGUUCGCUGGAGCUCAUAGAUGUCUCUCCUCAGUGAGGACAGCCCUUUGAAUGUUUGAUCUCAAAUCAGGUAGGACUACCCGCUGAACUUAAGCAUAUCAAUAAGCGGAGGA
rnacentral:misc_RNA from 1 species